rnacentral:rRNA from 1 species
AUUGAACGCUGGCGGCAGGCCUAACACAUGCCAGUCGAGCGGAUGAAGGGAGCUUGCUCCUGGAUUCAGCGGCGGACGGGUGAGUAAUGCCUAGGAAUCUGCCUGGUAGUGGGGGAUAACGUCCGGAAACGGGCGCUAAUACCGCAUACAUCCUGAGGGAGAAAGUGGGGGAUCUUCGGACCUCACGCUAUCAGAUGAGCCUAGGUCGGAUUAGCUAGUUGGUGGGGUAAAGGCCUACCAAGGCGACGAUCCGUAACUGGUCUGAGAGGAUGAUCAGUCACACUGGAACUGAGACACGGUCCAGACUCCUACGGGAGGCAGCAGUGGGGAAUAUUGGACAAUGGGCGAAAGCCUGAUCCAGCCAUGCCGCGUGUGUGAAGAAGGUCUUCGGAUUGUAAAGCACUUUAAGUUGGGAGGAAGGGCAGUAAGUUAAUACCUUGCUGUUUUGACGUUACCAACAGAAUAAGCACCGGCUAACUUCGUG